rnacentral:misc_RNA from 1 species
AGAUACCAAACAUUCCUUUGACGUUGACAUUAUUCGUCUCCAUUAAGCUAACAAAGCUUUCAGUACUACAACGAGAAUUAAUAGGAACUCUUCUAAAUUGGAGGUAAAGAAGAGAAUACCGUUUCCGGGUAAACAUUUUGCAUGUGAAAACGCUAGUCCACUGGUUUAUUGACGAUGUAGAAGAGAUUCACAUGAUGAUUUGACGUACAAAGCAUGAUGACAUAGGUCUGAACAGAUCAUGGUACGGGGGCUGGUAAGGGAGAGAACUGUCAACUUGAUCCACACUGAUUGACGCCAUGAAACACAAUGUUUGCAUGGUGUCUGAUUUUUUCUUCCCAAACAUGGGAGGUGUGGAGAGUCACAUUUACCAGCUGUCACAGUGUCUGUUGGAACGGGGUCACAAGGUCAUUGUCGUCACCCAUUUCUAUGGCAACAGGAAGGGAGUCAGAUAUCUGACCAACGGUCUUAAGGUUUACUACCUACCAUUCCCAGCUUUCUACAACCAGUGUAUCUUGCCGACAAUCUUCACAACCUUUCCGUUGUUGAGGAACAUCUUCAUACGUGAGCACAUCACAAUUGUCCAUGGCCAUUCAGCUUUUUCGACACUAGCUCAUGAGGCUAUGUUCCACGCCAGGACCUUGGGACUGAAGGCUGUCUUCACCGAUCAUUCAUUGUUUGGAUUUGCCGACGCAAGCUCAAUCCUCACCAACAAAAUCUUACAGUUCUCAUUGGCUGAUUGUAAUCAUGUGAUAUGUGUGUCUCAUACAAGUAAGGAGAACACGGUGCUUAGAGCCAGUCUACAACCAGAUGUCGUGUCGGUUAUACCUAACGCAGUGGAUGCCACUACGUUUGUACCAGACCCAACUAAACGACAACCAGGCAAAAUCACCAUCGUCGUUGUGAGUCGGUUGGUAUACAGGAAGGGGAUGGACCUCCUGGCCGGUAUCAUACCCAUCAUCUGUCGGAGACAUCCUGAUGUACAGUUUAUUAUAGGUGGAGAUGGUCCUAAACGAAUUGUUUUAGAGGAGGUGAGGGAACAACAUGAGCUUCUUGACCGGGUUACUUUACUGGGAACACUGAAGCAAACACGGGUCAGAGAGGUGCUGGUUCAGGGUGACAUUCUGGUGAACACCUCGUUGACGGAGGCAUUUUGCAUUGCCAUAGUUGAGGCCGCUUGUUGUGGAUUACAAGUUGUCACUACGAGAGUCGGUGGUGUCCCAGAAGUGUUGCCUCCCGACCUUAUCUACAUGGCUGAACCCACAAUAUCAAGCUUACUGGAGUCUGUUGAGCGCGCUAUUGAAGAUCGUCGUCAAGGGAGGGAAGUACCACCAUUUGAAGCUCACAGAAGAAUCAUGUCACUAUAUACCUGGAGGAACGUGGCCAUGCGGACAGAGAGAGUAUAUGAUAUGGUUUGUUUAGAAGAACAAAGAGAAACGUCUACUAGACUCAAAAGUUAUUACCAGUGUGGUCCUCUAGCAGGGAAGCUGUUUGUCAUUGCUGCAGUGCUCAAUAUUUUCCUUUUGUUUAUCAUUGGAGUUUUACAACCAGCAAAGUUAAUUGAAAGAGCAGCCGAAUUUCCACGACCAUCAGUGAAACAUAGAGUAACGGAGAACAAUCACACUCUUAAAAAUAAAAAAGUAAAGUAUGCAUGAUGAUGUGAUAAGGUGCUAGCCUGUAACUACAUGAUAUAAUUAUAUCAUAAUUCAUAAUAUUUUAUCUAACGAACCUUUUGUUUAUUGCCUUUGAAAGAGGUCGAGUGAUAUAUGAACACUGUUUGUCGUUAAUUCUAAGAUGGAUUCCCGAUGAUUUUCAGGAUGUUCAAACCAUGUAACCAUGCUGUACUUUCUGUUAUGAAUUUUAACAUGGCUGUAUAGCCUACAGACAUUUUGAUAUAGGAGACAGUGGUUUUGUGUUUUAACUUGAAGGACUCUGCUCUCGAUAUGAAUUUCUUCUAUACACCCUUGGAAUAUGUCUAAAAAAAAGAUAAAAGGCUAUUUUUUGACACCCUGCAGAUGAUAAAAGUAAACCAGUCUGGCUUUGAUAAAGAUGGAAUGAAUCGCAGAUCAAAGGAAUCCCGUGACAGCAUGUAAGGCCUGUUAAUGCACAGGCUUUGACGUUGGGUGCAGCUCUUCUGUAAUUUAAAAUGGGAAUGACAUGAUACAUUCAAAGGGUUGUAAGAUAUGUAUUUCAAGAGCAGAACACUCGAUUAUAAUUCCCUAUAUGGCUAAAAGAAGAGAUUUUUUCAAAAAAGCAUCCCAUGAUUUACCUGUACCAUGACACGGAAUGUGUAGUCAAAACAUUCAUAAGUCACAUUUCAUUUUUUCAAAAGAACUACAAACAUUUUAUGGUAGAUGAGACUAUUUUCAAAAAAAUAAUCACAACAUUUUUUUUGUACUAUGAUAUGUACCUGGUAGUCAAAAUAUUCAUCAACAACUAUAUGUCACAUUUUCUUUAAUCAAAAGAACUACAUACUGUACAUAGUAUGGUAGGUGAAGGUUGUUCAACUAAAUGUUAGCUUCCUGAUUUGAUAUCUGCGUUCUAUGAGUUCAUUCUUAUUGCAGAACUUUUUUGUAUUAUUCUGCCACGUAUAUAAAAAAGAAGAGAAAGACAGAAUCAUGAAGGUAUCUGUAAAAAAUGUUGUAUAACAGUUAUGUUUUCUGAGACUAUUAUUUUCAUGAUUUCGACACAAUUAGCAGACUGUAAACACUUGCCAGUGUGAAAUACAUGAUUUAAGCAUCAUAUUGUGAAAUAAAUACAUCGUAAAUUUGAUGCAGAUGUGAAAGUUGAUAUGUUUAUUGUGUCUACCACUUGUCUUUCUAAGCUCAAUCAAAGUAUUUUUUUAAUUCAGCUGUAUGAGUCUUAAGAGAAUCAGGCUGUUGGAUAUUUACCCACUCCCCACUUACAAAUUGAAAUCCACUGAGUGAUAUUGAAAAGGCCUUUUCUGACGCUUGAAGCCAUCAGGCCAUGCUUUUUAUUGUGUGUAUGUUUUCUUCAGAACACUUAUGAGUUUGAAUCCUGUUGAGUGGUGUACAAGGAAACAUGUUGACUGAUGAUCAAAAUCUGAUGUCUAUGUUUACAUACAAUAAUCUUCUGAAGAUUAUUGAUAAUGAAAUCCAUCAAUGAUUUUUAUUAGUUGACAAAUACAUUCAUUAUGUGUCCCCUUCCAAUGCAGGGACAAUUACUGGUUAAUUUUUCGUUUCAAUUCUUUUUAUCAUAACCAUCAUUCCUAACCAUUCAUGAUACUUUGCUGAAAUUACAUUAAUCACACACAAGAGGUGUACCUUGUGUCAUAAUAUGGACACUGUAAUUUAACCUUAAAGUCUAAGGUUAAAUAAGUCCUCAAUUUUCGGGAGAAAACUCCCUAGGCCUUAACUUUUUUAAACCAUUAAAUAUAUGUUGAUGGAACUUGAAGUGUGCCAGUAUCAACGGCAGCAGUGAAAACAAUUGUACAUUGAUUAGGUCACUGUGACCGUCACAUCAAGGUCAAAUGUCAAAUACGUUAUUUGUUAACGAGUGGUUAUAUGGUUGAUAAAGCUAGAAGUAUACUUCCUCACUCACAGAAAUUAAAUGUCAUAUAAGUGUUCAAUAUAAGGUCAUCAAAAACAAAUAUUUACUAAAAUAUUUUGUAUAAAGCAGUGCACAUAUUACGCUAGUGUGUUCAAUUACAAGAGUGAUUUGGGUAAUAUUCAACAACAAUCUUAUAAAACCAGAUCUGUUAUUCCACUCCAACAAAAGAUCUGUUUUUAAUCAGAUGUAUUCAACAGCUAGAAGAGAAAACCAAUUUUACCUCAUUGAAACAAAUUUCUUUUUUACGUUUGAAAGCUUAUCCCAGACUUGUUGGGAAAUUACCUCCAAUUUCGAUCUUGUAAAAUUAAAUUAACUUACAUGUAAUAUGUCUUUGUAGACCAAAUGUUCAGACCAUAGUCAGUCUUCUUGAUGUUUUUAGGAAUUGGGUAUUUUUAUUUAUAAUUCCAAUGUUAAGUUUGGUUAGAAAGGUAAGGUGCUUACUUUUUUUAUUCAAUAUCAUGACAAUGAGAAUGCCUGAUGUUUUUUGUUGUUGUCUAUAUACAUUGUUCAUGUAUAUUUAUUGAUGUCAUGGUGCUUUUUUUCUAGCAUAAUAGUUGAAAGUUGACAUUUGCAUGAUAGAGCAAACGAAAAAUAUUUAGUGAAAGGAAAUAAGGUCAUCCAUCAAACCUCAGUCUUCUGAACAGUGACAAAUCCAGGAUAUGAAAUUUUGUCAGUGUAGCAAUCAAACAAAUAUGGCGGAUGGUCAACUUCCUGUUUACUAAAGGAGUGUCACGAUAUACAAUAAAAUCUUGUUAUUUUCCCGCCAUUUUUUUUAUUAAAUUUUGUUUUAAUUAUGCAAAGUUUGUUUGUAGUACUUUUAGGGCGACCUACAAAAAGGAUGUUAUUGGUAGAACCUUGCAACCGAAGUCAUCCUUAGAAUCACAGAAUCCUUGGAUGUAGACCUACCAGCAGAUAUAUAUACAACUGUACUACAAAAAUAAGGAUCCUCGCCUGAACAGUCAAAAUAGUACCAGUAAAACAAAAUAGGAAGUAAAUAUCUUAGCCAGUUAAUGCUUUUUAAAAGUAAAAGCGUUCGGACGACGCCAUACCUAUAUAAAAACCCACCCUCGGUAAGACAACCACCUGUUCAAUAGCCUCCAAAUGGUCCGAUGCUAUUUAAAGAGACACGACUGCCAGUCAUGAUCAUAUCAUGUUUUUCAAUGCCUACUGUUCCAUUCUACAAAUUGAUCAUUUUUUGCAUCUUCUUUCCCAGAGAGUGGUUCAUAUCUGUAAUAAGUUGUAAUGCGAUUUUCUGAACUAAUAAGAAAACAAAACAAACUGGAGAUUCAUUUUUCUACCUAAUGCAAACAUAAAACAAAAUGAGGAUAUAUCUUCUUGGUGUAUUUUUAUAUUAAACUAGUCAAUUAAUAGAUAUACUUUAAAAAAAUCAAAUCUGGUUUUUAAUUCUGGACUUUUCUAGUGUAAUGACAAAUAUUCUUGACAUUUAUCAUGUAUAAUAUUUAAUGUAACAUAUAUUUUCGUAAUUUGCUUGCACUGCAAUUAAUAUCUUCAUUUUAUACCUUUUACAUAUAAUGAAAUGUAAUUCAAACAUGACAAAUUUUAUUAAUUGAUACUGCUGUGUUUCACUAUAAGAUUAUUUCAUGUCGAUGGGUGUAGGUUAGGGCAAUUCCUCCAAAGGGGUUUUCAAAUUGGAUAAAACUAGAGGCUUGCUGAGGGGUUUGCACCAAUUUGAAAAGGCAUUUUCUUAUUAUUUACCCGUGGGGAUGGAAAAGUAUUUUUUCUCUAAGUUCAAUUACCAGAAUUAGCUCUGAACACACAUGAAGGUAUCAAACUUUCUGCAUUGCAGUAUCAGAAUGUGCCCGAUUUGUUGACGUCCUGUUAUUGUUGUUCCGUUAUUGUGACAUCACGUUGGGGGCAAGAUAGAACAUUCCUAAUUCCCCUUUUUAUCCUGUCAUAUACCCACAAGAAUGAGAGAAAUGUAUCGUCAUAAUAAAUGCUGAUAUUGAUUUGAAGAUGGCAACAUACAUAUAUAUCUAUUCGAAGUAUAAGUGCAUGAAGUAUGUAAUAAAAUCGAUCCUGAGUUGGUCUUAUGAAUCUUGUUACAAAAGUUUCGUGAUGAGUGAGGUGAAACCUGCUUGUUUGGUGUUGUUAAGGAUAACAAAUUGUAUUAUCAGUCAGACCUGUCGUUUUGUUAGUUUAGUGUUUAUGGAAACAUAAAAUUGCCAUAUAGUGGUAUGAUACUGGAAGAUGUUUUCAUAUUGGUGCUUUUUCCUGUAGAACAUUAGCAUAUUGCUAAAGAUGCUUUACCACUGAUUUUUGAGAAUAUUUCACUGUUUGAAAUAUAUAUUUUGCAUUAUGAUUUUUUUUCCAGUAUCAGAGAUGUUCUAAAUAAUCCAUAAAUACCACUUUGGAAUGAAAAUUCAAAAGAAAAAUAUCAGAAGAAUAACAUCAUAUCUACACCGAAAUUCAUUAUGGAAACAGUCUUGACAUGGGCUGUUCCCAUGAUGAGUUUAUAUUCACGCCGUACACCAUACACCAUCAGUGUGGUUCAGUCUAUUGCAUAAAAGGUAACUCAGAGUUGUGUAUUUUUGAAUAGACUACAUGUUGAAGCACAAGGUUAAACCUGCGAUGCCUUUACUUGAAAGAAAUCCCGUCCUGUACCAAACAAAGAAAUUCCAAUGCUUUGAUAAGCAUAUCUAUCUGGAUGGGAUUUGAAAUAUAUGAGAAUGUAUUAAGAUAAUUUCAUAUAUCGUACUUUUUGUAUGUUAUAUUUAGUCAUUUUAAUACACGAGAACAAGGAAAAAGAAAAUACAAUGCUUGUUGAACCGACAAUCAGCGAUAAACUAUCUUGAAGGUGUAAUGUUGCUUUGUUUAAUAUAUCAAAGCAAGAAUUUUGUAGUGUAAUUUUUAUCACGUUUGUGGCAUCUGUUUUAUAUUUUUAACGGAAUCGGACAUUCAUCACUUACAUGUCAAAUUAAUUUAUUAUAUAUGUGUUGGUACUAUAUGUGUUUUAUCUACAAGUGUGCCAUAGUACUGAAUGCCAAAAGAAACUAUAUAUGAUACCUGUCUAUGUAUUUCAUAAACUAUCUGUUUAAUCAGGGAGUUAGGCUAUCUAAACACGUAGUGCACUAUAAGCUGACAUUGCCGGGUACAUUGUACAAUGUGUGAACUGCUAGUUAUCUUUCUGAAGAGUAACUUCCUACACACUGAUACCCUGAUAAACAUAGAUAAUAUUGAUUAUUUUAAAACGAACCUGUAAGCUUUCUGUUAUUUGGUAUAACAAAAUUCCGCUUAGAAAUGGCAAAACAAUGGUGGUUAGUGUUUUAAAAGUACAUUACGAUAAAUUAUUUACAUUUGUCCAUGUCCCAGGCCGAUGCUUUUUAAGCACCUCAGCCAUAUACUAGUUAGUACACAGAUAGAAUUGUACGAUUUGUUUUUGGAAAAUUAUAUGAUGUGGUGGCAUCUUUACUACACCAAUCUAUUCUCAUUAGAUGUGAUCAUUGAAGCUGGUCUAUAACCGACAGUGCGGCAGUGAUUUGCUUGAGAUGCGCUGCUUUCAGAACACAUGCAUGAAAGUUGAGUGUAGCGGCAUGCUAUCAAUACAUGUAAUAACAAAUGGAUAUAUAAAGUUCGUUUAUUAUCAUAACAUGUAGUAGUAUUUUAAAUUUAAUUUUGAGAUUGUUUUGAUUAUUUAUAAGCUUCUCGUAUUAUUUAGAUACAUAUUUAAUGCAUUCAUUACAGUUUUGUUGAUGACAUCUGUAAAACUAGUAACUAUUGUCAGUUUUUGUUUUUAUAUAGGUGAUUCAAGUCGUAAUUCAUUUCACUGUUUCGUAUAUUUUGUACCUACUACGAAAAUUGUAUAUUAAAUUUGAU